rnacentral:rRNA from 1 species
UACAGAGGUCCCAAGCGUUGUUCGGAUUCACUGGGCGUAAAGGGUGCGUAGGUGGUCAGGUAAGUCUGAUGUGAAAGCUCUGGGCUUAACCCAGAAAUGGCAUUGGAUACUAUCUGGCUAGAGGAGUGGAGGGGGGACUGGAAUACUUGGUGUAGCAGUGAAAUGCGUAGAUAUCAAGUGGAACACCAGUGGCGAAGGCGAGUCCCUGGACACUUCCUGACACUGAGGCACGAAAGCUAGGGGAGCAAACAGG